UACAGAGGUCUCAAGCGUUGUUCGGAUUCAUUGGGCGUAAAGGGUGCGUAGGCGGCGCGGUAAGUCGGGGUGUGAAAUCUCGGGGCUUAACUCCGAAACUGCAUUCGAUACUGCCGUGCUUGAGGACUGGAGAGGAGACUGGAAUUUACGGUGUAGCGGUGAAAUGCGUAGAUAUCGUAAGGAAGACCAGUGGCGAAGGCGGGUCUCUGGACAGUUCCUGACGCUGAGGCACGAAGGUCAGGGGGAGCAAAACAGGG
rnacentral:rRNA from 1 species